rnacentral:rRNA from 1 species
GAGUUUGAUCAUGGCUCAGAGUGAACGCUGGCGGCAGGCCUAACACAUGCAAGUCGAACGGCAGCGCAGCAGUAGCAAUACUGUGGGCGGCGAGUGGCGGACGGGUGAGGAAUACAUGGGAAUCUACCCUGUCGUGGGGGAUAACGUAAGGAAACUUGCGCUAAUACCGCAUACGACCGAGAGGUGAAAGCGGCGGACCGCAAGGCGUCGCGCGAUUGGAUGAGCCCAUGUCGGAUUAGCUAGUUGGCGGGGUAAAGGCCCACCAAGGCGACGAUCCCGUAGCUGGUCUGAGAGGAUGAUCAGCCACACUGGAACUGAGACACGGUCCAGACUCCUACGGGAGGCAGCAGUGGGGAAUAUUGGACAAUGGGCGCAAGCCUGAUCCAGCCAUGCCGCGUGAGUGAAGAAGGCCUCGGUUGUAAG